GAUGAACGCUGGCGGCGUGCCUAAUACAUGCAAGUCGAGCGAACGGACGAGAAGCUUGCUUUUCUGAUGUUAGCGGCGGACGGGUGAGUAACACGUGGAUAACCUACCUAUAAGACUGGGAUAACUUCGGGAAACCGGAGCUAAUACCGGAUAAUAUUUUGAACCGCAUGGUUCAAAAGUGAAAGACGGUCUUGCUGUCACUUAUAGAUGGAUCCGCGCUGCAUUAGCUAGUUGGUAAGGUAACGGCUUACCAAGGCAACGAUGCAUAGCCGACCUGAGAGGGUGAUCGGCCACACUGGAACUGAGACACGGUCCAGACUCCUACGGGAGGCAGCAGUAGGGAAUCUUCCGCAAUGGGCGAAAGCCUGACGGAGCAACGCCGCGUGAGUGAUGAAGGUCUUCGGCUCGUAAAACUCUGUUAUUAGGGAAGAACAUAUGUGUAAGUAACUGUGCACAUCUUGACGGUACCUAAUCAGAAAGCCACGGCUAACUACGU
rnacentral:rRNA from 1 species